rnacentral:rRNA from 2 species
GAGGUCCAGCCUGCCCAGUGACGUUCAACGGCCGCGGUAUCCUAACCGUGCAAAGGUAGCGUAAUCACUUGUCUUUUAAAUAAAGACUAGUAUGAAAGGCACCACGAGAAUUAAACUGUCUCCUUUUUCCAAUCAAUGAACCUAAUACCCCCGUGAAGAAGCGGGGAUUUUACAAUAAGACGAGAAGACCCUAUGGAGCUUUAAACAAUUAUAUGUUUUUGGUUGGGGUGACCGCGGAGAAAAACCUAUCCCCCGCGAUGAAAAACAAGCCACAACUUUAUGUAUCAACAAAUUGACACCAUUGACCCAAUAUAUUGAUUAACGAACCAAGUUACCCUAGGGAUAACAGCGCAAUCCACUUCAAGAGCUCCUAUCGACAAGUGGGCUUACGACCUCGAUGUUGGAUCAGGGUAUCCUAGUGGUGCAGCCGCUACUAAGGGC